UUCGGCGGCCUCUGCCUCCUGAGUGCUGGGAUCAAAGUGUUCACCUGACACCAGCUACCUCCACCAUACUGCCCAAGUCCAGCCGGGCCCAACAAGAUCAAAGUUGUGUGCCAGAUGCCCAGAGGUAAGCAGCCCAGUUUCAGAGACUUCAGCAUUUUGGAGAUGGCAUCAUCAUGGGACGACUGCCAAGGACAGCAGCCAUAGAGAGGAGCAAUCCAGUGAGCAAUACUCCUCCAUGGCCUCAGUUCCUGCCUCCAGAUUUCUGCCUUGAGUUCCU